GUGUGCUCUUCAGAUCUGCCUAUUCAUUUUUCUUCUAAUUAACAGAAUACAUAAAGCAAAAUGGAAGCUUGUGUUAUUAUUUAGUAUGAAAACAUGAAACCUAAUCAUAGCUAAUGAGUAUAAUAAACGCCGGCUGUACCUCCUCUUGUUUGUGUGUGUUUUACAUACAGAAGGUAGCACAGGCUGGGGAACCAGGACGCCAGGCUACAGGUGGGCUUGCGAAAUGCUGUUUGACAGCCGGUUAGAGCAAUCUGUCAGAAAUGAUGACUUAAUCACCAUAACAGACUCCAACUCCCCUUGUAGCAUUCCACCCAGAGUAAUCUAAUUUUCCUGCGGUAUUUUAUUU